rnacentral:tRNA from 2 species
UCCGCCGUGGUGUAAUGGCAGCACGGGUGACUUUGACUCACUCUGUCCAGGUUCGAGUCCUGGCGGCGGAG